UUUAUUAUAUCAAUAAAAAACCCUAGGCAUAUCAACAGAAAUGAGCAGUAUUGGCCAACUAGUUAGUACUAUAGGCACUUCAGAUACAAGUUGGUAUUUUGCUAUGCUUUUGCUGGUGUAUUUGCAAACUUCCAUGAGCAGCUAUUGGGACCUUCACUAUAUCUUUCCCCUGCCGCACCGUUGACGGGUAUCGCAUCAGAAACCUCCUUCACAUCUUCUUCAGUGAGUUUCACUCUCAACGAUCCGAUAUUAUCAUCGAGAUUUUUUAUCUUUGUCGUCCCUAAAAGAACACAAUGAGAUGUAAGUAUGCUUCGUUUUCAAGUUUAUUACAAUGGUUCGUCCAGUUAGCAAGUUAAUACGAACUUACCAGGGAUUGGUACCACGUCAUCACCUUGGCUAAGAAUCCAAGCUAGGGCAAAUUGUGCAGUGGUGCAUCCGUGCUUCUCGGACAACUUUCGUACGUUGCCAAAGAUGACCUUGUUCUUCUCCAAGUUGUCCCCUGUGAAUCGAGGACAGAAACCUGAUACCUGAUAACAAAAUGAAUAGCCAUCAAAUAACCGUUCUUGUUCACAUAAUUUAGCAUAUCGCAACCCCCGAACUCCCUUACCAGAAAAUUAUUUGCAGGUAGACUUUCGACAACACCCUUGCCACCGAAAAAUCCGCGACCCAGUGGGCUGUAUGGCACUAUUCCGAUUCCAAGCUCCCUGUGGUUCCAACAAAAGCGACAAUAUUUUCUCACAUUGAUCAAUUGACUAUGAUGCGGGAACAAUCGACCAGCCACAAAGUAGUUACCUGCAAAGCGGGACAAUUUCUUCCUCGAUAUCUCGAGUCCAAAGGGACCACUCCAUUUGUAUAGCAGUUAUGGGAUGAACCGCAUGAGCCCUUCUUAUUGUGUCCGGGCUAGCUUCCGAUAAUCCGAUGUACUUAAUUUUUCCCUCAUUCACCAGCUUCUUUAGCUCCUCCAUCUGUCCUUACAAAAAUAGUAACUGAGUAACAGAAAAAUGGAAAAAGGCUUCACAAUGCACUUCAAAAGUAGGGGGAAAUAUCUAACACUUACAGUGUCCUCUAUGGGGACUGUUGUAUCGAUCCGGUGCUGAUAGUAAAGAUCAAUGUAGUCCACGCCAAGGCGCUUCAGGCUAGCCUCGCAGCAGGAGCGGACAUAUUCAGGACUGCCGUUUACUAGCAUCUGAUUAGGUUCAAUUUUUACGAUACCAAACUUCGUAGCCAACUGAACUUUGUCUCGUGGAAAUUGCCUCAAUGCCUGAAGUUAAACCGAUCGAAGACGGCAUAAAUGACCAACAUUAAAUGCAUACCGACAGCCCUAGACACUCUUAGACUCUUUUCAGAACCUGCUCCAAUUUCGAGUCAAAGAGAUCCUAAGCCUAUGAGGCAUGGAUAUGGAUACGGAUACGAAUACGGCGAUAUUAUACGACACUCCUGAGUAUUUUAUAUCAGAAAGACGGGUAUCCUACAUUUGAUGUAUCGAUAUGCACAAGGAAAAUCACAACUUUGAAUUAUGGAAAGACUAAUUCAGAGCACAUUACCUUUCCAACCAAAACUUCAUUAAUAUGAGGUACCAAAACUUCAUUAAUAUGAGGUCCAUAAACAUCUGAUGUAUCAAAGAAUGUAAUUCCCUUAUCGAAUGCGUGCUUGAUGAUCGAUAUGCCAAGCUCUUCGGGGACUGGAUCGUUGUAGAUUCCAGUGAGCCCCAGACACCCAAAUCCCAACUUGGAAACCUGCACCACAAAUGAAUUCACAAUUUGCAUAAAAUCAAUGUGAAAUAAUUCUAAUUUUUAUUUGGAGGGAAGCAAAAAACAUAACCGAGUUGCAGAAAUGUAAAGCUAGAGUAAAGAAUCUGAAAUGGUUUCACCUCAAAUCCCUGAGUUCCGAGUUGCACUCUUGGAAUUUGAACUUUCUGCUCCUCCGCCAUUCUUCUUCUUCGAUCUUCUUCGAUCUUGUUGCACUCUUGGAACUCUUUUUUGUCUCCUGUUUGGUGAAGUGAGAGCGAAUUUAAAGGCGUUUUACGCACUAAACUUCAUGUCGUCAUUGAUUACAUCAGCAUAUCUUUUAGAUCACUGCGUGUGUCAUUGGUCAUUAAGGAACUAAAUCCAAUACUAAACUCGUGAGAACCAAUAUUAUUUGGAAGUUUGUUAGUGUCCAAAAGCCCACUUCCAACAACACUUUGUUAAUUACCAUCUGCAUUAUCUGUCAAGUAUGAGAUUUUAUCACAAAAUACCCCGGUAUUAGUUUAAAAGGAGUAGGAUAUUUAAGAUGGUCUGUGUUUGAAAUGGUAUCAGGCAUGUUGUUUUUGGUUGAUAAAGAUUCAAACUUGAAUAAUCGUUUGAAGAGAUUUUUGUGUUUGUUUUGGCUCGAGAGAAAACGGAAGAGCAAAAGUCACUUUGUAUAUAUUUUUCUUAAUAUCCCAAAAGACAAAUUACAAAGACUAUAUCUUUUUCACAGCCGGUCUAAAACCAGAACCUACAUCUAGAGGCCUAGUACUCCUCUCCGAUCAUAAAUGGUUAUCAGAGAAUAUCAUCCAUCCACUUGGAAGAAGAUGAGAAUGCUCAGUACAAUUAAAAGAUAAAACACCAGCUGUAAUCUUUCUAAAACUAGGGGAAGAAACUAGCCGUUGAAAUUAAAAAGCUCCUUCUAAUUUUAGUAAGGUCUUCAUUUCUUCACACUUUUCUGCUUCCUUUUGACUUCAUCUGCAGGAUUACCUUCUGCAGGAUAACUCUAAAGCUAGGAGGCAGCUUAAUUCUCAACAGUCUGUUGCGUAAAUAAUCUCUCUUAUUACAUAUAAUUUCCCAUUAAUGUGCCUGCCGUGUACGAGUCCAGUAUCAUUUUAUAAGAAACGGAAAUUUUCAGAACAACAGUUUCCGGGAUAAGUAGUCCCCGGAUCUUUGUUCUGUUCAUGAGCGUUACAAUUUUGGAAUGGAAAUUACUGUUGGAGUAUGUGGCCAAGUGGCCAACUUUUGACUAUAAAAAAUUAUAAAGAAAAAGGUAGACAAAAUAAUUAUGUCUCUUCCUUAUUUUGGGGAAAAGAAAAGGGAUUUUUGUCUAAAGUUUUCUUGGUCCAUGGGAAGUCACGGGGUGACUUGAAUGAAGGCUAUGUUAUGAUGAGGGAGCUGCUGCCCUUUUGUUUUUUUAAGAGAGCAGAAAAAUUGGUGAGCCGAAGAGAAGGAGAGGGAGAGAAAGAAGGUACUGCUGCAGUACCAUUUUGAGAGAAGGAGUUGUUAUUCCUUUCAUUGGAUAGUUCUCACUCCAUCAAAGUGUUAUUGUUGUAAUAGCUUUGAGCUUUGUAUAGAGAAGAAAUUAAUCACUAUAUUUCUUUCUCUAUUUGUUUCUUUAGAGUGUGAGAGUUAUUGGGUGUAUUGGGUUAUUUGGGUUGUGAGAUUGCCAACUUUGUAAACUCCCAUUUGGUUGAUAGUGGAUUAUUGGGUGAGCUCCUACUGCUCCGAGGACGUACUCCAGUUACACUAACUGUUGAGGAACCUCGUUAAAAUCUUGGUGUCUUUAAUAUUUUGUUCUUGCGUUUCAUUUGAUAUAUUUCCUGUGGGUUAACAAAGAGUUGGUUCUAAAGGGUUUGGUGCUAUCUUAGCACAACAAUUACGCUUAGAAAAGAACUUAAUACGAUGUUGAAAUAUCCGUAACUGCUUCAAAGACUUCGACUGUAUUGCAACUUUCUCGCAGAAACUGUGCAGAUUCGAUUGUGCAUACAAACAUUUAAGUUGGUCUGUUUCAUUGUUUUGCUGGUGUGUUUGCAAACUUCCACGAGCAGCGCAUAAGACUAUCUGUUAAUCUCUCCCCUGCUGCCGCGUUGAUGGGUAUCAUAUCCGAAAUCUCUUUCAUAUCGUCUUUAGUGAGUUUCACUCUCAAGGAACCAAUAUUAUCGUCAAUGUUUUUUUUUCUUAGUUGUCCCUGCAAAGACACAAUGAGAGAUCAGUUCGCUUAACCUUUUUUUGUUCAAAAUCGACGCGGUCCAGUUAGUAAGCUAAUACCCACAUACCAGGAAUUGGUACCAUGCCAUCGCCUUGAUUAAGAAUCCACAAGAGCGCAAGCCGUGCCGAUGUGCAUCCAUGAUUUUCGGCCAAGUUUAGACAGAAAACAUAAUACGCUAAACUUUUCUGUCUCCCUCAAUUCUCACAUCUCUCUCAGUCUAUUUACAUUCCUACUUCAUAAUUCUUGGGCAAUUGAUCACUACUUAGCAAUCAUGUCUGCCGUUGGCGUGCAUAUCGAAUCAGACAUCUUGUGAGACUUUGGGUUGUAUCUUGGAGUUGUAGGCACCGCUAUAACCUGCACAUAGGGAGGCGUUUACGGCUUUAGGGCAGCAACAUCGCGCCUCUCUUUGGUUCACAGGCCAGAUAUUUUUUUUAAUUUAAAUUUCAUAAGUCUGAUAGUGAUUAUACAUUUGAUUUGAUAUAUUUGAUCAUAUAAAUAAUUGAUAUAUUUUUGCAAUAUAUUUCACAAUCUAAAGCCGUAUACGUGUGAUAAUAUAAUUGCAAAUUUUACAAUCUAUUUUUACAGUACCUUGAAAGCCCUAAGAAUUGUAGUUUUUCCUAUGUUGAAAGUGGAAUUGUUAGGAUUCUGUCGUUCAUUGAAUUUUUUUUUAUUCAGGUCCUAUCGUUGUUUUUUGACUAUGUGCAUUUGUUUUAUUCGAGUCAUUGUCAUUGAAUUUUGUGAGAAGGCAAACCUUACCCUUCAUUCAUUGCAUCAUGUCAUUCAAUUGUCUGAGAAGGCAAACUUUGCCUUUAAUUCAUUGCUUUUUUGACUCUUUGCAUUCUCUUUAUUCUUUUUAGUACCAAAACAUUUUAAUAUUGCAUAUCUGUCAGCUAUUGUCUGGGGUUGAUAAUCUUCAUAAACUACAAUUAAUAAUUAAAUAUUACUUGUAUAUUGCAUACUGAUACAUGUAAACUGCAAUUAUCUAAUAUUAUUCGUAAACUGCAAUUAAUUAUUAAAUAUUACUUGUAAACUGCAAUUAUUUAAUAUUGUUUAUCUGUCAAGUGAUUUGACUACAAUUGCAUCAGUGCGUGAUUAUUACAAUUUGUGUGUGAUUAUUCAGUACCAAGCACUUGCAUCUUUUAUGCUUUAAUUAAAUUAAAUAUGUGCUUGAUUAUUACAAUUUGACUACAAUUGCAUACUCAUAUAUGUUAAUUGUUUUAUGCUUUAAUUAAAUAUGUGCAUGACUAUCAUUAUUAAUUGAUCUGUGGUUAUUAUAUAGCAGUAUAGUUUAUCCUAUACUUGUUAAAAAUUUUGAGUGACAAUUUGUUUUAAUCUCUACAAUAUUAUAGCAAUCUUAUAUCUCUCUCACUUGUUAUUAGUCAGAAUUACAUAACAAAUGGCAAGCCUAGAAGAAGCAAAUAGUGUUAAGCCUGAAAAAUUUAGUGGGCAUAAUUUCUGUAGGUGGCAAAAACAAGUGAAAUAUUGGUUAACUGUCUUAGGACUUGUAUCCGCACUUGAAGAAACUCAAUCAAACAAAGAUUCCUCUUCUAAAGAGUCAUCUUCUAAACUAACCCCUGAACUCAUAGAAUACCAUUGUCACAAUAGAAUCUUAAGUGCCAUUUCUGAUCAUCUCUAUGAUGUGUAUCAUGCUACUACAUCCACCGCCAAAGAACUUUGAGAAACUUUAGAAGCGAAAUAUGGAAUUGUAGAUGUUGGGAUGGAUAGGUUCACGGUCUCAAACUUUAAUGAUUAUAAGAUGGUUAACAAUAAGUCUGUUGGGGAACAAAUACAUGAGUAUCAAGAGCUAUUAAGAGGUGUUGAAAAGAAAGGAACGAAGUUCAGUGAGGACUUUAAAGUCUCUUGCCUUAUUGAUAAACUGCCUCAAUCUUGGAAUGACUUUGCUAGAACCUUAAGGCAUAAACAAGGAGAAUUUACUUUGGUUCAAGUCAUAAAUUCAAUUAGAAUUGAAGAGAAACAUAGGUCAAGCCAAAAGAAGGAAACCGAAAAACAAACAACUAUGAACUUAGUUGAGAAUGUGUUUGGACCCAAAGUUACACCAUCGGCCCGUGCAAUCAAGGCCGUUGAGUAAGCAUAGCUCUCAAUCGUCAGAUGGAAAAGUGGAGAUAAUUUUGUUAUUGUUAAAAAAUAAUAUUAUGGCUUUUGUCAUAGUAAUUAUUUUUCAAUUUGGAUUAUCUUGGCAUUAUAUCUUGGAACAAGUACAGUUCUAGUGAACUUAGGAUUACUGCUAUCAGAUUGGAGAAACUUGGUAGAUGAGAUUUGAAAAGUCAUGGUGCAUGCACGGAUGGAUUAUGGAAAAGCCUAGAUAGGCUUGGCUUUUGGUGGUGAUGUGAUAAGUCUAAGAUUUAAUAGUCUUGGAUGAUGAUGACAAGCCUAGGUAGGUUAGGUUAUGAUGAUAAAACUUUUAUUUGGAUAGGUUUUUGUGAGGUUUAGAAAAUCGUGAACAUCUAUUUGAAGGAUAUGCCUUGGUUUCUGAUGCGGAUUAAUUUCAGUUCCACGGAAAAGAAUUGCAGUUGAACUCUACAAGCACCAUCAGGUUGUGCCAGAUAGAUAUCCAACGUUAUAAAUACAUGAAGACUGUGCAGCAUUCAAGCCCCUUUCCAAUUCAACACAAAAACUGCCAUGUGUAAACCCUCGCUCUACGCGAAACCUCUCAUCAACCUUGAGACUUUUGUUUUCUUUUUCCGCUGAUAUACCUUCAGUUUGGAUAAACAGCACUGUGAAGGCAACCGGCGAACAUCUUCAGUUUGGAUAAACAGCACUGCGUAGAGGCCGACUGGUUAUCUAUCUAAGUCUCGGUCGAGAAGGAUUUUCGAAUUCUUAUUGGCAAAGGCCAUCUCAUUAGCCUUUUUGGCGAAGUGAGGUGUUACAAGUUAUUACAUUCGGCACAUUGAAAACCGAAUUUGAUAUUGAACUUCGCAGAACUAGCAGCCUUAUCUUCAGGCUCUAGAACCUAAAGGCCGAGAGUGUUCCUUCCUCGGCUGCAGUCUUGAGAUUCAGAAGUCAACAGCGCACCCAACGUAACAUCAACAUAUUUUACUCCUCGGUCGGCCGACGAGUUGGCACGCCCGCAUACAACCGAAUGACGUAGUUAGCUUACUAGUUACUCGGUCUGCGUGCCACGUAGGCUUGGUAGUUUUUAGGGUUAACAGAAUGACACCAACAAAUAUGAAAAAAACAAAACCAAGUUUACCAUGAAUAAUAAGAGGAAUUUCAAACCUAGAAGAACAAAUUUUAAAUUCAAAUCACCCAACCAAAAUAAGAACUUUCACAAGACUAAGGAUCAAGGGAGAGAGAAAGGGGUUUGAUUCGUUUGCGGAAGAACCAAUCAUAAAGCUAAGGAUUACUUCUACAAGAAGACUGAGGAGAACAAGUCUAGGUCAAAUCAUAAUGGUCCAAAAGCCCAAGUGAAUAUGCUGAUAGAGCAACAAUCUUCUCAAACACAUUUUAAGUAUGAUUCCUUUGUCAAUUUUACUUAUGAAAAUAAGGAUUGGUGGGUAGAUUCUAGAGCUAACAUACAUCUCUGUUUUGAUCGUGAAUUUUUUAAAACCUAUCAGAAAUCAGGUGGAGGACGUGUAACUUUAGGAAAUGACUAAAUGUCUCAAGUGCUUGGAAUUGGAGAUGUGGAUGCAAAUUUCUUCCUCCUUCUUAUUGGACAAAAUUGCACCUACAAAACAAUUAACACCUUAGAGUCAAUGCCAAGAGCCUCACACGCCCACGAUGAAUGGGGGGGCUUUGGCUGAAGAAACUCUUAUGCCAAAGUUAGAAUUUAGAGAGAAAAAAUGUUUAGAGAGUUUGUGGAAUUUUGCAAGAGUGUUGGAAUGAUUUUUUGAUGAAUAUGGGAGCCUAUUUAUAGGGAUAGGCCGGUCCCCUUCGGAUAGGGAGUGGCCAGCCAUUAGGUAGGGUUUUUUAGGUUUAAUUUUGGUUUAAUUAGCCAACUUAUUAUGAUUAAUUGGCUAAUUAAUCAUAAGGGGAAUGUUUUGGUGGUUAUGAAAUUAAUUGGCUAGCUAAUUAGUGUAAUAAAAAGGGAGAAAUGAUAAAAAAAAAAUGGUAGAAAGUAUGGUGGACUCCUUUUUGAAUGGGGAUGGCCGGCCUUUGAGUUGUUUUUGGAGUUGAAUGAAUGAUUUAAUUGACAAUUAGGGGAUUGAUUAGGCAAUUAAUCCCUUAAUUAGUCAAUUAUUAUGUUUUUAAAGGAAGAUUUUAGGAAAUAUGAAAGGAAUAUAUUAUUUAGCUAGAUUUAAUUGACAAUUAGGGGAUUGAUUAGGCAAUUAAUCCCUUAAUUAGUCAAUUAUUAUGUUUUUAAAGGAAGAUUUAGGAAAUAUGAAAGGAAUAUAUUAUUUAGCUAAUUGAUUAGCUAAAUAAUGAAAUGGAAUAAAUUAGGUUUUGGGAAUUACCUUAUAGAAAUGAUUUAAUGAAAUAGGCUUUAAAUUGUUACCUAUUUUGGGCACUUUUAACUUGGUUGAAAGAGGGUUGCCCGUAGGAACCUCGUUGUACCGCUAGGGUAUUUUUGUCAUUUUUGUCCAAAAAUCCACGUGUCGCCUUGUGAUUAUUUUUAGCUCCACAAAUGCCCCCACACCUGUUGGGCUGCUUGCAGAAAAGGGUAACAGGUGUAGAGAUUUUCUUGCCUUAGGAAACUUUGAAUUGUUUCCCUUUUUUUGUGAUGAUUCUCUCUUUUAAUGGGAAAUUAGAUCCUUCUAGGAAAAGAAAAUAAAUCCCUCUCAAAGUUUAUGUAAGUCCACCUUAAGUGGAUUAUUAAAUCAAUUUUUUGAGAGAAACUUAUUUCACCCUACAAGCGAGAGAAAGCUUAGAGGAUAUUUAUUCCUCCUCCUCUAGCCAUCUUCUACAUCUUGCCCAUGCAAAGGAUCGUCUUUCGUUGCAUGCUUCGUCUUCUCGUUGUUUCUAGGUAAGAAAAAUUUAAUUUUUCUGUCUUCAUAAUUUUCUUAGAAGUCUUAGGACUUGAAAUUGGCUCUCCAGGGGUCGAGGAGACUUUGAAAUUUUUUUUUAAAAGCCAUGGGUUGUGGAGUGCAGUAGGGUGGCUAGGUUCGGCUCGGGCUAUGGGGGAGAAAAUGAUGUGGGGCGCCUGCCCCCUGUCAGUCAAAUAUGGGCCUCGGGGCAUUUGGGUCGAGAAGAAAGAAAUUGGGGAGCCAGCACAGGCAGGGCUCCCUGCUUUGCCUUUUUUUUUUUUAUUAUUGGGCCCUUGCCCUAGGGAGGAAUGAAGGGCUGAAUGCCCUCUUGGAUUUGGGGGCCUCUGUGUUGUGCCUUCCCCCCCCCCCCUUUUUUUUUUUUUUGCCGAGAGCUGCUUUUUUCCUUUUUUUUUUUUUUUUUUUUUAACAACUCUUUAACAAAUAUUCCUUGUACUUUUGUAGAAUUUUCAAGCAUGUCUUCCUCAAGCCACAAGAAUGAUGAUGGUGUGCCGCCGUUGUACAGUCAAGGCGGGUCUUUAAGCAAGGUUGGCGACUUUAAGGCUGCUCACUUCAAGAUUAGCUUCGACGACUUGUUCAGGGACUUCCUCGAGGCAUACUGGCAUGUCAUUCCGUCGGGAGUACGUGUGAAGCAAGUUAAGGAUGGUAGCAGCCGGGAACCAUGCAGUGGAACUCGGAGAGCCAUCAAGUUCCACCCCUAUUAUUUUGUGUUAGGGUUUACUUUCCCUAUGCAGCGUUUCUUCCAAGAAGUGCUUUGCUCCAUAAGAUGUGCCCCCGCCCAAUGUUCCCCGAACACAGUCCAUGUGAUGGUGGGAUUCCACAAUCUAAGCCAAUUCUUUGACUUAGAUCUAACCGUUAACGAAUUUUGGUAUUUCUUUGACAUAGGUCACAUUGACAAAGUUGGGCAACUGUGGUCUCGCCAUAAGCUUUUUGAUAACUCGAGCAAGAGAGAUCAUGACCAGGCCAAAGAGACUUUGGAGAUAAGUGGAGAAUGGGAGUCUGAUUCUUCCCCCGAGUUGCGUGUACCAACUGUCUUCAUAUCUAGUAAACAGGCUGCUUAAUCUUCUCGGCUACUUUGUUGUAGUGCCAACUUACACUUCAAUUUUCUGAUUGUCUUUCGUUGUUUUUUUUUUUGUAGAUUCGGAAUUCAGCUUAACACCUAAGGUUUUUCCGAACAUAAAGAAAGUACAUGUCGUUCUGGGGUAUCCCUUCCGAAUAUCAUGAGUGGCGUUGUCUGCUUAGUCCUCUUCGUAGGGAAAAAAGUGGGCUACCUCCAAAAGAGGAGAUAAAACGGAUCAAAGCAGAUGCGAUGGCUCGUCCUAUCACUGUGAUGGAGCCUGCUAUCAAUAAAGGUGGGAAAAAGAAACAUUCCUCGCCUACUCAAGAGAUGCUUGCUGAAAAGAAACCGAAGACUGAUCGCGGGGAUUUUUCGGCUGCUCAAGAAAUACCUGUUGAGAAGAAACCGAAGAUUGCUUCUGCUGCUCGCGAGGGUUCAUCAACUGUUCUUAAUAUUGUGAUUGACUUGACUUCCUCUAAGGGCGAGAAAGAAAGAACUGCUAUAUUUAUGCCGGUAACGCCUAUUGCUCCGAAGGCUGCUACUCGAUUGCUGAAAGGAUUACCCAGCGCAGAAGUUCCUUCGUGCCUCCAAUGCCGAAGUUUGUGCCAAAGCGUUCGUCUAGAGCUAAGUCUGGCUCACCUUUGGAGAGGCUUGCUAUUAUGAAGAGUGACAAGGUGCCCCUGCCUACUAAAGUGGUGCCAAAACCUGCUUCAUCCGUUGCUGCAAGCAACUCGUCUGCUGAUAAGAAGGAAACUGCUUGUUCAUGCAGGCUUGAAGAAUCCACCAAGGCUGUUUCUUGGGAAGUUGCUAAGAUUUGCACGCUUUUAAAGCCAAAUCUACUUGAAGACAUGGAUUUAUGUGCCAAGUUUGUUGAUGGGGUCAAUGAGGUUAUUGGUCCGAGUAUUUUCACGAAGCACACAUCCGAGUAUAGGAAGAUUGCUCUGCUAGCCAUGAUGUAGAAAACAACAAUUUUGGCAGCCAAGUCCAUGUUCCUUGACCAAGAGAAAACCAAGGCUGCUAAAGAGAUGGCAAGAACUAUGGCUACCAAAGCUUACUCAUCGGUCGAAAAAAAUCAGGAAAUUAGAAUCUGAGCUUGCUGCUUUUAAGGGAUCUAAUAUUUAUGCCCCCACUUCUCUGCAGCUUGAGGCCACUCACCAAGAGAUUAUGGUUUUGAAGACUAGGCUUGAUGUAAUCCAAGUGAAGUACGAAAAUGCAGAGAAAGAAAUCGAAGGUUACAUACCUCAAAUUCAAGAUCUUGAGCGUUUCAUCUCUGAAUUCCGCUCCGCUGCUUAUGCAAAGGAUGAAGAAUUAAUCGCUGCUUACAACCAAGUGAUCCAUUUCAAAAAGGUCGUUGAUAGGCUUGAGCCACAAGUGUUGGAACUUCAGAGUGCUUUGAAGAACAACGACAAUCUGAAAAAAGAAAUUGAGAAUUACAGCGGGUUCGUGAUUCCCUGCUUGAGGAGAAUAAGCAGUUGAAGGGUGAGAAGGCUGGGUUCGAAGCUUCACUUACUCAAAGUUAAGCCGAUUUCUACAAGCUGGGCUAUGUAGAUCAUCUCUAUAGGCGGCCGUCUGAGUUUGAUUUUUCCGGUAAAGACUUUGAAACCUUCUUUAUUUCUCCAGAAGACUUGCUCACUUUUAUUUUUGAGUCUUCUAUCGGUGAAGUAGUUGGAGAAGUUGGUGCCCAGGCUAGGGCAGCCGAGGGUAAAGAGCCGGAGGAUGCUGCUACUGAGAACAUCAAGGCUGCUGAAGGUGUGACGACCGAGUAGUCGUGAAAUGUCCAAGCUAUUGAAGAAUAGUCUUCUAGGUAGCCUUUAGGAUUUUCUUUGUUUUCCUUUGUUACUUUUGCUUGAACUCCUUCGGUAUUUGCUAAUUGUUUAUCAAUUUUGCUAGAAAAUUUAAUAAACUUGCUUUUUUUGCUUUUCUCCAUCUUCGCUUCUUUUUGUCUAUGCCUUAACCUUUAGACCUUAUAGACCAGUGGCAAGCGUGCUACUUUUCUAUAAGCAGGUAUUGGUGUAGAACUUUUGCAAAGUUAUUUAACUAUAGGGUUGGUAGCCGAAUGCCUUACUUACAGAAGCAGACGAAUCCGCGUAACCACUAGGUUGUUAACCUUGGAUCUUUCCAAUUCCGUAGGUUGUGUAGCAAGUAUCACAACACUUUAGGACUUGGUGUAGGUUAUUCUGUGUUUGGCAGAGGUGAAGCUUAUUGACUACGUAGCAUGUCGGUAGUGGAUAAAAUCUUCGUGUAUGCACGCUAGCUUGUUUAACCUUUCACAAGAAUGUGCGGUUGCAUAAGUCUAGCAUGGUUUUACUGCUCGAAGGGCAAGCCGUAGGUAGUCUUCCAGAAAUUCGUAGGCUACCUUAGUGCACUCGGUAGCAGCUUUAGGUUUCCAGGGCAGCCGCCUGUUGGGUGUACUGCGUAAUGUGCCCCUCCGUCUCUAGGGCCCGGUUCCCUGCGAAUUUAGGCCAAAAGACCCAAAAUCCUUCAAUUAGCUAAGCCUUGAAAAAGACCAUUGUGGCUACUUCUAGGAAUCCCGGUGCAAGCCAUCGUGCAUCUAAUUAUACUAGGGCAGCCAGGCUCAUCCACGUCUGGAUAUUCAGAGUGUUGAGUUUAUCCUCCUGUUUUAGAGAGCAUGGUUGGCCCUUCGGGGGAUGCAAUUCUUACGGUGAGUCCCAGAAAGGGGUGCGAUCUUCUUUUGAACUGCAGGAAAGAUAAGUUGUUGUAGACAUGUAGUCGAGCCAAGUUGCAAAUUACUUCUUAAUUUUUUAUUGAAAAAUGAACAAAAUGAACGAAACUUAGUUGUAAAAGACUGCAUGAUGACUGGAUAUUCCUCGACUUGCGAGAUGGUGCCCGUUGAGCUGCUUGAGUCUUCGGGUCUUUAUAUAGUGGGAAGUCACACAUGGUAUUUCCUCAAAUUGUAGGCGUUCCAUUGCUUCUCGAUCUCUUUGUCAUUCAUGGUGGUAAAGGUGUAGUUACCCUUACUGCCUACUUUUCUGAUCUUGUACGGACCUUCCCAGAUAGGAUCUAUCUUUUUCGAGCCUUCUAUGCGGGCAGUGAUGAAAGCCUUUCUUAGGACUAGAUCUCUGGGUUGGAACUGCCGGAUCUUUGCCCUUUUAUUAUAGCUAGAAAUGAGCUGUUGCUGGUAAACUGCGAUGCGGGUGAUGGUUUGUUCGCGCCUCUCUUCUGCCAGAUCUAAGUUUGUAGCCAUCUCUUCACUGUUCUGCUCAAUGCUUGGCAGUAGAGUGUUGAUGCUUGGCACAAUGAUGUUGGGAGGAAUGAUUGCUUUCGAACCAAAUGCCAAAAAGAAAUGAGUCUCACCAGUCGCUCGUCUUUUGGUGGUGCGAUAUGCCCAUAAACAUCUGGGGAGUUCAUCUGGCCAUUUUCCCUUUUUGUCGAUGAGGGAUUUCUUAAGGCAAUCGAGGAUUGUCUUGUUGGAUGCUUCGUCCUGCUCAUUUCUUGAGGAUAUCUUAGCAUGGACAUGUGUUGUUUGAUGUCGUACUUUUGGAAGAACUUCGCCAAAUCUUUUCCCACAAAUUACGGGUCGUUGUCGGUGACGAUUGACUGAGGGAUGCAACUCGGCAAAUGAUGUUCCUCCAUAUGAAACGCUAUAUGUCCAUCUGAGUUAUGGUCCUCAUGGGUUCUGCUUCUACCCAUUUGGUGAAGUAGUCGGUUGCCACAAUCAUUAUGCAUCUGCCCCCAGUAGCAGGCGGCAUAGGCCCUACCAGGUCAAUCGCUCACUGCAUGAAUGGCCAAGGACUCGUCUAUGGGUGUAGUUCGCUGGCAGGCAGUGCUGGUACCGGUUUGUAGCAUUGGCAGCGGUCGCACUUUUAUACUAACUCCUUAGCAUCUUGGUGCAAGGUAGGCCAGUAGUAGCCUGCGUUAAGAGCCUUCUGUGCUAAAGAUCGGCCUCCAAAGUGAUUCCCACAAACGCCUUCAUGGAUUAAACUUAGAACCUUCAAGUCAUCGAGAGGUGUUAGGCAACGGAGAUGCGGUCCGGUCUAAGAUCUUCGAACAAGAAUGCCAUUCCACGUAUAGUAGCGUGCCGCCUUGAUUUGGAGCUUUCUUGACUCUAAUCUUUCGGUAGGGAGUGUGCCGCUGACCAAGUAGUCUAUAAUAGAACUUUGCCAGUUGGGAGUUACACUAACCUGUGACACUUCGGAUGUCGGCUCCAUCUCUAUGCUUGGCUUGUCUAGAUAUUCCACCAGAAUGGAGCAUUUAAAUUGGUGGUCGAGGGCGGAGCCUAAAUCGGCUAGCGUAUCUGCAUGGGCAUUGUCUGCCCGCGGAACUUGAGUGAGAGUGUAUAUCUAAAAUGUCUCAAGCUGUUGGCGUACUUUCUCUAGGUAUUGUGCCAUCCUUGGGUGUUUUGCCGUGUAUUCCCCAAUAGCCUGGCUAGUGAUUAGUUGGGAAUCAGAAUGAAUUGCGAGCUUCCUUACCGCCAAGUCUUUUGCCAUUCGAAGGCCUGCUAGUAAGGCCUCGUACUCUACUUCAUUAUUGGAUGCUUUGAAGCAUAGAGUGAUCAUAUGCUCGAGCAUUGAGCCGUCUGGGGUAACAAGAACCAUGCCUGCUCCUGAACCUUUGUUGUUAGAUGCGCCGUCAACGUGCAAAUGCCAGAAAUCUUCACUUGGGGGUGUAAGCAUGGCUAAGGUGUGUUCGGCUUCUAGAGUAUUACUAGGCUGCUCUAUUGCAUUGCCUAGGCUAGGUGUGAAUUCUGCUAUGAAAUCUGCUUAGGCUUGGCCUUUAUCGCUGUGCGAGGUCGAAAAACUAAAUCAUAUUGGCCAAGUUCCAAUACCCAUUUCAUCACUCGUUAAGAUGUGUCUGGACCAUGUAAGAUUGAUCGUAAAGGAUACUGAGUCAUGACGAUGACUGUAUGAGCUUGAAAGUAUGGUCUGAGCUUCCGAGCCGCAACAACUAACGCCAAAAUUAAUUUUUUGAUCUUCGGAUAUCUUGUUUCCGCAUCGAGAAGAGCUUUAGAAGUGUAGAAUACCGGCAAUUAGGCCUCCAGCUCUUCUCACAUGAGGGCAGAGCUCACUGCUACUUCGGAGCCUGCCAAGUAAAUGUAUAAAUCCUCCGCCGCUUCCGGCUUGGAUAGUAAGGAAGGUGAUGAGAGAUACUUCUUCAAGUCUUGGAAAGCUUUUUUGCACUCUUCAUCCCAUUUGUCUCUUUGUGCCCUCUUGAUAGAUUUGAAAAAAGGCUUACAUCGAUCUGUGGAUCGUGAGAAGAAAUAGUUGAAGGCAGCUGCUCGUCCGGUCAAGCUUUGGAUCUCUUUCAAGGUAGUUGGAUAUUUCAUCUCUAGGAUUGCUCGAAUUUGCUUGGGAUGUGCAAUUCCUCGUUAGGUUACUAAGUACCCUAGGAAUUGGCUUGAAUAUAUUCCAAAUGUGCAUUUGGUAGGGUUGACUUUCAUCUUGUAUUUCCUAAAGAUAUUGAAAGUUUCUGCCAAAUUGCAAAUGUGAUAUGAUUGCUGCUUGCCCUUUACCAUGAUAUCGUCGACAUAGACCUCCAUGGUUACCCAAAUUUGCUUCUUGAACAUCAUAUUUACUAGUCUUUGGUAAGUGGCUCCCUCGUUCUUGAGGCCAAAGGGCAUGACCUUGUAAUAGUAGGUGCCCCGCUCUAGGAUGCGGUUUUCUCCUUGUCGGGCUCGUGCAUGGCUAUUUGGUUGUAGCCAGAGUAUACGUCUAAGAAGCUGAGCAACUGGUUCCCAGAAGUUGAAUCUACUAAUAGAUCGAUCUGGGGGACUGGAUAAGGGUCUUUUGGACAUGCUUUGUUGAGGUCGGUGUAGUCUAUGCAAACUCUCCAUUUGCCCUCCUUUUUCUUCAUGACUAGUACGACAUUAGCAAGCCAUGCCGAGUGUGCUACCUCUUUUAUGAAUCCGGCCUCCAAUAGCUUGUCAAUUUCUGCCUCAAUGAUCGCUACUCGUUCGGGUGCGAAAUGUCUUCUCUUUUGGAUUACCGAUUUGGCGGUAAGGUCGACAUGCAGCUUAUGGCAGGCCACAUUGGGGUCAAUGCGGGGCAUGUCAGAUGGUGACCAUAUGAAGACGUCUCGGUUUUCUCUAAGGAAAGUUGUGAGUUCUUCCUUUUCGUCUGGGCUUAGUCGUGAGCCAAUUUUAGCCAUCUUUUUCAGCUGCUGGGGAUCAAGAAUGAUGUCUUCGGCGUCCUUUUCGGGAUUCCAUCCUAUCUCGUCUGCUUGGGCUCUAUCUUCUUGAUCCACUUGCUGUAAUUGCUAUUUGGUAGCCUCUUUGUCCUUUUGGACUUCGGUAGCCUCUAUGGGGGUAAAGAUCUUCUUCUUUGAUUCUUUCAACAUUUGCACAGUGCAUCGUCGAGAUGAAACCUGGUCAGACUUAAUCUCUCCGACUCCUCCUCCCUAGAUGCGGAAUCGAAUUUUUUGAUACUUGACGGAAGUGACGGCAUCCAGCUUGAUCAACCAAGGUCUCCCAACAAUCCCAUUGUAGGAAGAUGGAUCACUUACGAUCGUGAACGUUUGCUUUGAGACAACUGGCGGUGUUUUCAUGUUAAGUGUAAUGUGGCUGAUGGCAGUUGAGGUGUGUCCAUUGAAUCCGGUAAAUACCUCUGCUUGGCGUAUGAUUGUGCUUUCCAGGCCCAUUUCUGAAUGACUGAGAGUUGAAGCAAGAUGACUGCACUUCCAUUGUCAACCAUCAUCCUGUCAACUAUAGUAUGGGCUAGUUGGACAUAUACUACUAAUGCAUCGUCGUGUGGGAAAUCGACACCUUCUGCUUCCUGCUCAGUGAAGCCAAUAAUGGGUCCAGGUUGGGUAUCGACUGCUUGAACUUGUGAUAUUAGUAAAGCCUCCUGGGUCUUCCUCUUUUUGGAGUUAUUAAUGGCCCCCAAGUGCUCAGAUUCGACGAAAAUUCCAUUGAUUUGAAUCAUCUUGGUUGGCGGCUCCUCAUCACCGUCUGUAUUCCUUCUUGGCUGCGCAGCUGGCUUGUCCAAGUAUCUAUCGACUUUGCCUUCUUUCAUGACCUUCUCUAGGUAGUUCUUCCAAAUGUAGCAGUCGUUGGUUGUGUGACCAGGACCUCGGUGGAAUACGCAAUACUUAGUGUGGUCUAACUUGGAAGUAUCUCAUUUUGAUUGUUCGGCAACUUGAACCAUGGUUCGUUCUUGAUGUCAUGAAGGAUUUGAUGAAUCAGAAUUGAGAACUUAGAAUAGCUCUUGGUUAUCGGGCCUUCUUUGGUCAUAGGUCGGUCCAUGCGCUUAACCUCAGGCAUGCCCUUGUUGGGCUGUUUUCCAUCCUUCUUCCUUUGAGCAGCUGUCGACUCUUUUCGAGGCUGUUCGGGCACCUUUUCUACUUGUCGAGCCUCGUCCCAAAGUGCAUGCUUCUCUAUCAGAGCAAAGGAAUCUGCUAGAGUUAGGUCUUCUUUCAUGAUCAUUUCUCCGAACAAUGGGUGGUCUGCUGAGAGUCCUUUUUGGAAGGCUGCACUUGUUAUCGAGUUAUCGCAUCCGAUGAUCUUUGCCUUCUCUGCUUUGAAUCUCUUCACAUAAUCGCAAAGUGACUCAUUUGGGUUUUUCUUUACAUUGAACAAGUGAUCGGACUUUUUCUUGAUUGAACGAUAAGAUGAGUAUUCUUUGGUGAAAACCAAAGAAAGAUCAUCAAAAUUCUGGAUGGAUCGUGCUGACAAGGUAUGAAACCAAUCUUGUGCCUCGCCUUGUAAAGUGAAUAUUUUGCACAUAAGGACGUCAUUGUUCCGAUAAAGGACCAUCGCACUUAUGUAGUGCUUCAAGUGUCUUUCUGGAUCCUCAUCUCCUUUGAAAGAUGUGAAGUGCGGCAUGCUAAACUUGUGUGGAGGCUUUGUCUGCCCGAUCUCAUCCGUGAAAGGUGACUUGCUUAUGUUAGUCAUAUCCCGCCUUAGUGUUUCAUCAGCCAUUUCGUUGCGUCGAAAAUCAAGCAUCUGUUCAUUGAAAAGUCUUUCUACCUCAUCUUGGAUUUGCCAUUGUUGGAGGAGUGGAGUUAUCGGCUGCCCCUGGUCUUGACCCGCUGGUCUAGGUUACUAUUCUACACGCUCGGCUCAUCUAUGUCGUGGCUGUGGUGUAUGAGAUAAGUUCCUAGCAGGCAAGGGAUUUCUUUCCAGGCUGCCGGUUGAACUUAAGCCGGAUUGAAUGACUGCUUCAUUUCGUUCGUCAGGCUGCCUGCUCUGAUGUGAUGUAGAUGAUGCUCCUUGAGGGCCUAACCGCGAAUGAACGCUUUGCCUAGAAGGUUGCUCAUGUUGAUUAUCGAAGCGUGGCCUCAACCAUGAACGAAUAUUUACCCACAGGCCUAAUCAAGAGUGCACGCUCAUCCACGCGUUAAGACGGGAGUAUACGCUAUCUCGGGGGCCCAAUCGAGAAUGUAUGCUACCUAAGUGUUCAUUUUAUGAUUGGUUAAGUAACUGUUUACCGGGACGCUGCUGGAAAGGUUCAUCUACCCUUGUCUUACUUUGAGACUUCUCGUUUGGGGCACGUUGGAUCUCGGUGCGUUGUAAGAGUUGAUUCACCAAGGUCAUCUGUUGUGCAAGGGUGCUCGUCAACUCUAUGACUUGUCCAGAUAAAUGUUGUUCACUAUUCGGAUUGGAAGAGCUCGGAUGGAAUGCACCCUGAACAAUAAAAGGGUGGUAGACUUCGAGCGCGAGAUUUGAGUUGCGGAAUGUCAAAUCUGCAAAGAAAUGUGGCGAAAAUGCCCCCGGCUCGAUGAUUGGUCUGGAUGGUUGAGAUAGUCUCGAGCCGACUUGGGCUGCUUGAGAAGCCAUGAGAGCAGGAGCAGGCUGGAUCACGGGAGCAAGUUGGAUCGCAGGAGCAGGCUGCUCAGUGCAUGGUGCAUGCGAGUGCGAGGCUUGGGCUCGGGCCCGUGCAAGCUUGGAUGGCAUGGCUUGGGCCAUGGUGGUGCCACUCUGUUUACAACCGUAUUUUGCCUCGUGGAUCUCCGCGAUCCCAUUUCUUGAGUAUUGGAAUUUUCACUUGUACGAGUAUGGAAAAUAUUCAAAUGGACUAGAAAAUAGAGAAAAAACAUUUUUAUGCGAGAGUAUUCUAUGAGUAUGGAUUUCAACUCUCAAUGAAAGCACCAAUUUGUGGAUGCAAAUUUCUUCAUCCUUCUUCUUGGACAAAAUUGCACCUACAAAACAAUUAACACCUUAGAGCAAGGCCAAGAGCCUCACGCGCCCAUGAUGAAUGGGGGGCUUUGGCCGAAGAAACUCCAAUGCCAAAGUUAGAAUUUAGAGAGAAAAAAGUGUUUAGAGAGUUUGUGGAAUUUUGCAAGAGUGUUGGAAUGAUGUUUUGGUGAAAAUGAGAGCCUAUUUAUAGGGAUAGGCCAGUCCCCUUUGGAGAAUGAGUGGGCGGCCAUUAGGUAGGGUUUUUUAGGUUUAAUUUUGGUUUAAUUAGUAUUAUGAUUAAUUGGCUAAUUAAUCAUAAGGUGAAUGUUUUGGUGGUUAUGAAAUUAAUUGGCUAGCUAAUUAAUGUAAUAAAAAGGGAGAAAUGAUAAAAAAUAAAAAAAUAAAAAAGGUAGAAAGUAUGCUAGACUCCUUUUUGAAUGGGGAUGGCCGGCCUUUGAGUUGUUUUUGGGGUUGAAUGAGUGAUUUAAUUGACAAUUAGGGGAUUGAUUAGGCAAUUAAUCCCUUAAUUAGUCAAUUAUUAUGUUUUUAAAGGAAGAUUUUAGGAAAUAUGAAAGGAAUAUAUUAUUUAGCUAAAUAAUGAAAUGGAAUAAAUUAGGUUUUGGGAAUUACCUUAUAGAAAGGAUUUAAUGAAAUAGGCUUUAAAUUGUUAUCUAUUUUGGGCACUUCUAACUUGGUUGAAAGAGGGUUGCUCGCUGCUCGCACGUAAGAACCUCAUUGUACCGCAAGGGUAUUUUUGUCCUUUUUGUUCAAAAAUCCACAUGUCGCCUUGUGAUUAUUUUUGGCUCCACAGGAGACAUAGAACUAAAGAUGACAUUAGGAAAUGUCUUAAUUUUGAAGGAUGUGCGACAUGUACCUUAUAUUAGAAGAAAUUUAAUUAGUGGAUCAUGUUUAUUAAAGCAAGGUUAUAAAGUUGUAAUGGAAUCAAAUAAGGUUGUAAUAACCAAGAAUAAUGUAUUUAUUGGAAAAGGUUUUAUUAGUGAAGGAUUAUUUAAGUUAAGUGUUUCUUCAGAGUUCAAUACUCUUCUAAAAGUUCUUAAGGUUGAAUCUAGUAAUGUUUGGCAUGGACAGUUGGGACAUGUAAACUUGUUCAAAAUUAAGAAAAUGAUGGAUUUGGACCUAGUCCCAAAGUCAAACAUGAAUCUUAAGCGUAAGUGUGAAAUUUGUGUACAAGCAAAACAAACCAAGAAACCGUUUAAGUCUGUGGAAAGGAAUACCCAAAUUUUAGAGUUUAUACAUAGUGAUGUUUGUGACUCAAAUAGAUUACCUACUAGAGUUGUUGGUAAUAAGUAUUUUGUCACAUUUAUAGAUGAUUGUUCGAAGUAUUAUUAUAUUUAUUUGAUAAAGACCAAGGAUGAAGUAUUUGGUAAAUUCAAGAUUUACAAGACAGAAGUGGAAAAUCAAUUAGAGAAAAGGAUAAAGAGACUUAGGUCUGAUAGAGGUGGUGAGUACACUCUUACCGAUCUUUAGUAUUUUUUGUGAAGAUCAUGGUAUUAUACAUGAAGUAACAACACCCUAUUCUCCACAAUCAAAUGGAGUUGCAGAAAGGAAGAAUAGGACCUUAUUGGACAUGGUGAAUGCAAUGCUUUUGAGUUCUAGAUUACCGGAAAAUUUGUGGGGGGGAAGCAAUUUUGACUGCAUGUUUUAUAAUAAAUAGAGUAAUAAUUAAAGACAACACUACUACUCCAUAUGAAAUGUGGAAAAAGAGAACACCAAAUCUCCAAGUCGAAAGUGUGGGGGUGUUUGGCUAAAGUUGAAAUCCCAUAACCUAAGAGAAAGAAGAUAGGACCUAAAACUGUGGAUAUUAUUUUCUUAGGUUAUGCUCAUAAUAGUAGUGCCAAUAGAUUUCUAGUCAUCAAUUCUGAAAUAAAUGAAAUUUAGAAUAACACUAUAUUGGAGUCUAGGGAUGCAACAUAUUUUGAAGACAUAUUUCCUUUCAAGACUAUAAUGCAAAAGCAAGUGAUAGACAGAUCAUGCACUAGUACUGACAAAGCCUCCACAAGUAUUAGCCAUCAAGUUACUAAUGAAGAAGAACCUCUAGCAUAACUUAGAAUGAGUAAGAGACCUUGAGUGGAGAAGAACUUUGGUGAUGAUUUUUAUACUUUUUUAAUUGAAGAUGAUCCAACAACAUAUGAGGAAGCCAUGAUUUAUGUCGAUGCUCCAUUUUGGAAAGAAGCUAUAAACAAUGAAGUUGAGACUAUUUACAAAACAACACUUGGGAGUUAACGGAUUUACCACCCAGUACUACACCAAUUGGUUGUAAGUGGGUAUUUAGGAAGAAACUGAAGCCUGAUGGAAGUAUAGACAAGUACAAAGCUAGGCUAGUAGCCAAGGGAUUCAAUCAAAAGAAAGGAAUUGAUUACUUUGACACUUACUCUCCUGUGUUUAGGAUUACCACAAUUAGGAUCCUUAUAGCGUUAUCUUCUAUACACAAUUUAGUAGUUCAUCAAAUGGAUGUGAAAACAACAUUUUUGAAUGGAGACUUAGAUGAAUAAAUUUACAUGGAACAACCCGAAGGAUUUAUAGUGAAAGGCCAAGAACAUAAAGUGUGUAAGUUGGUUAAAUCGUUAUAUGGACUCAAGCAAGCUCCUAAGCAAUGGCAUGAGAAAUUUGAUAAAGUCAUUUCAGAAUAUGAUUAUGAAAUUAAUGAGCAUGAAAAGUGUGUCUAUUAUAAGGAAUGCAAUGGACAGUGUGUAAUUUUAUGUCUUUACGUUGAUGACAUAUUAUUAUUUGGAACAAGUUUGGAAAUUGUGAAAGAUGUUAAGUCUUAUCUAUCAAAGAGAUUUGAUAUGAAAGAUCUAGGAUAAGCCAAUAUUAUUUUGGGAAUGAAAGUAGAAAGAACAACAGCAGGUUUUAUUAUAAACCAAGCUAGUUCAAUUGAGAAAAUGCUUAAGAAGUUCAAUUUUUUCAAUUGCAAUCCUAUCUCGACACCAUAUGAACCAAGUGUGUGCUUACUUCAAAAUAGUGGUGAACCCGUGUGUCAACUCCAGUAUUCUCAAAUGAUUGGGUCCUUGAUGUAUACAGCAAAUAAAACUAGACCUAAUAUAGCUUAUGCGGUUGGAAGGCUAAGUAGAUACACUCAUAAUCCAAGUAAAGAACACUAGAAUGCUUUAAGGCGAGUAUUUAAUUAUCUAAGAGGAACUAUAGAUUAUUAUAUACACUAUAAAGGAUUUCCUUAUGUAGUAGUAGGGUAUAGUGAUGCAAAUUGGAUCACUGAUAGCUCCGAAGUGAAAUCUACUUCAGGAUAUGUAUUUUUAUUGGGAGGAGCAGCUAUAUCUUGGGGAUCUAAGAAACAAACAAUAAUUUCUAGAAGUACAAUGGAAUCUGAACUCAUAGCUCUUGAUACUGAAUGUAUAGAGGCUGAAUGGAUUAAGAAUUUUUUGCUUGAUAUCCCAUUGGUGAGCAAGCCUAUACAUGCCAUCUCCAUACAUUGUGAUAAUAAGGCCGUGAUAGAUUUAGUGAGGCAAACACAUACAAAUAAGAAAUUAAAUAGACACAUUAAUGUUAGAUACAAAUCCGUGAUUAAAUAAAGAAGUUGUUUCUUUGGACUAUGUGAAGUCAGAAAAGAACAUUGCUGAUCAAUUGACCAAAGGUCUAUCUAGGAAUGGAGUCCUAGAUUUGUCGAGGGGGAUGGGCUUAAACCCAUAAGGAAGUCACCUAGGGAAGAAACCCUACCUUUGUGAUUGGAGAUCCUAUGAAGAAGGUUCAACGGGUAGAAACAAUCCAUAUUGCGUGACUUAUAUUCCAGCACUCUAAAAUAGGAGAUUUGAAAUAAAAUCUCCUCCUCAUCCCUAUGACAUUUAUGCUGAUGAUAAGUGGUGUUAAGGAAAGACAUUGUCUUGAAUGAGUUCCAAGGCGGGCAAUCUCUCGCAAAGUACAAGUCACAUGUACUCUUGGACGACUCACCUAAGUGAGAGUAGUCGUAAGGCCGCGACUGUGAGAAUUGGGUUGUUCUCUAAAAACACUCAUGAGAAUCAAGAUUAAGUGCAUGGCCAUAAAUAGUGUUAACCUGCACCAAGUUUUUGAUCAAUAAUUUGUGUGUCAUAUGUUGUAAUCUAAAUUAGAGGAAUCUAGUUCAAGUCUUAGUUCACUAUGAUUCAUUCAGAUGAAAACUAGAAUACAAAGUGUAGGUUCAAGUCCAAAAGACACCUACACCCAUUGCAUGGUAUACAAAUUGCCCAAACUUUCGUUUCUUCAAUUGUGUCUUUUUUAUUCCUCAUAGAGUUUUGAAUCUUGUGGGGGAUUGUUGGUUUUUAAAUAUUUUAAUAAUAUUUUAUUUUAAAGAUUCAAAACGUAUUAUUAUUUUAUUUUAUUUAUUUAUAAUAUUUACGAGUUGUGUUUUAUUUGAAGAGUCAUAUUCCGUUUAAAAGGGUAUGAGAAGUUCUUUAAAUAAGAAACUUUAGACAGAAAACAUAAUACGCUAAAGCCUUCUGUCUCCCUCAAUUCUUACAUCUCUCUCAAUCUAUUUACAUUCCUACUUCAUAAUUCUUGGGCAAUUGAUCACUGCUUAGCAAUCCUGUCUUCCGUUGGCGUGCAUAUCGGAUCAGACAUCCUGUGAGGCUUUGGGUUGUAUCUUGGAGUUGUAAACACCGCCAUAACCUGCAUGUAGGGAGGCGUCUAUGGCUUUAGGGCAGCGACAUCGCGCCUCUCUUUGGUUCACAGGCCAUAUAUUCUUAUUCCUUUUUUUUUUAAUUUAAAUUUCUUAAAUCUAAUGAUGAUUAUACAUUUGAUUUGUUAUAUUUGAUCAUAUAAAUAAUUGAUAUAUUUUUGCAAUAUAUUUCACGUGUUACCUAAAAACUAUUUGCAGGUAAAUCUGACACCUCAAAUAGGCAAAGAAGUCACCAUUCUUUCUCUAUCCUCGAAUAUUCAUAAGCUCCCUCUCCCCGCACCACUCCAUAUACCACAAGAACUUAAAAAAUCAUUUUUAACCCACUAACUCAACGGGCUCGCCACAACUAUCAAAGAAAAAUUGAGGCUGGGACACGCUAAUCACGUCAUAUGCAACGCAUUUCUCAUAUUGUCUGUAUUGAUUCUCUCAACUUCACACGGUUGUCCUAGUAGGGCAACUCCACGGACUUAUCUUUCGUUAUUAGUAAGUUACAAGUUUUAGUUUUAUUUCGUUUUGUUUUUUAUUUAGACAUUUUUUCUCUAUUUUUCCCUUCUUGUUUAUCUUGUAAGUGUUCCUAAGAAAAGGAAGUUGUUCAUUUUUCGGGUUCAUAAAAGAUGUAAAAGAUGUAGAAAUCAUUUGAUACGUGAAACACGAAAUUGAUUAAGAAGUGUAUGAAAUUAAGCUUAAAUCAGCACACAACUAACUGAGAACAGUUGUUAUUAGUACCAAAAAAAUAGGCUUAAGCAUCCAACAGAACGGGGCAGCAUUCACCAAAGGUUCUCAAACUGUGCAGCAAUUGGAACUUUAGUUGCACUUUCUAACAACAAUCAGAACCAAACAAACAUAAACACCUUACAUCAUUUCAGCAGUUCUUACAGGAAAGGCGCAGACCCGAUCACAUACACGAACAUUUAAGAUGGUCUUCCUCCAUCUCUUUGCGGUGUAUCUGCGAACUUCCAAGAGCAGGGGAUGAAAAUUUCAGGUACAUUAUUCCCCGCCGCUGCAUCCACUGGUAUCAUAUCUGAAAUCUCUUUUACAUCUUCUUUUGUGAGCCUCACUUUAAAGGAUCCAAUAUUAUCAUCAAGAUUUUUCACCUUAGUUGUCCCUACAAGAAAACACAAGGGAAUGUCAGCAACUGGAAAAAAAAAUCCAGCAAUGUUUCUACUUCAUUGCAUUAGUAAAACUCAUCAAUUACCCUAAACCCUAGAGGCUAGAUCAGGAAGGUAAGGGGCACGCACCGGGGAUAGGUACCACAUCAUCACCUUGACCACGAAUCCAGGCAAGGGAAAGUUGCGCAGUGCUACAUCUAUGCUUUUCAGCCAACAUUUGUAUUCUACUAUAUAUAAUCUUGUUCUUCUCAAGGUUAUCUCCUUGGAAACGAGGAUGCCCAUACUGAGAGCAAGAUUGAUUCAUCAAAUCAUUUAAUAAUUAGAACAAAAGAGCUUCAUACAUAAAUUCUGUGACAUAGAUUACCAGAAGACUAUUUGCAGGUAGACUCUCCAUAACUGCCUUGCCACCGAAGAAUCCAGAACCGAGAGGGCCGUAAGGCACUAUCCCAAUUCCUAGUUCCCUAAUGUUCAGCAAGGACAGCACAAUUCUUGUCAUACAUACAAGGCGGGAAGCGAAUACAUGUAGCGUGCAAAAAGAUGGUAAAAAUAGAUGCUAACAUCUUAGUUCUAGGGCGAGUUAAUGCAGAAAGAAAAAUGUAAUGCACCAACAAGCUAAUAUGCUAGCCAUUAUGCACAUAUUGUAUAUAUAACAUCGAAUUCAAACCCCCCCCCCCUUCUUUUCUCUCUCUCCCCCUCUUCUCUGUUUUGAGUGAUAAUUUGAUCGUUUUAGUUUCCUUAAACGCGACCAAUGCUAUAUGCUGUUGCUGUACUAGGGUUUCCGAAAACACCUAUCAGUGCAUAAUUAUGAUUUUUGCACACCUAUCAGUGCAUAAUUAUGAUUUUUGCACAGGAUUUUCAAAUCGGAUAGUAAGAUGAGGAGGGUUACCUGCAAAGUGGGACAAUUUCUUCCUCGAUUCCACGAGUCCAAAGCGACCACUCCAUUUGUAUCGCAGCAAUGGGAUGAACUGCGUUUGCCCUCCUUAUUGUGUCUGGACUAGCUUCAGACAAUCCAAUGUACUUUAUUUUCCCCUCUUCCACCAACUUCUUCAGUUCCUCCAUCUACCCUUGUACCACAAUAGCAAGUACUAAUAGUUAUAAAAUAAGAAAUCUUCAACUUCAAAUAUAUUUUGUUGAGUGAAAAAGGGUUAACGCUUACAGUAUCCUCAAUGGGGAUGGAUGUAUCCACGCGGUGCUGAUAGUAAAGAUCGAUGUAGUCCACACCAAGGCGCUUCAGGCUAGUAUCGCAACAUGAACGGACGUACUCAGGAGUGCCAUUUACUACAACGCCAUUAGAAUCGAAUCCUACAAUACCAAAUUUCGUAGCCAACUGAAUCUGGUCUCGAGGCAAUUGCUUCAAUGCCUGAAAAACUUUAAAUCGUAAAUAGCAUGCAAACUUGAAAGGAAAGUUAACAAGACAGGAAAAAUGAGCUAAUAACGUUUUGAAUGAGAUUUCGUUGAAGCAACAUCCUAAGAACUGAUGAUUUUUCACCUUAUAAUUUUAGGAUUUUGAAGAAGACUCUACCUUUCCAAUCAAAACCUCAUUAGUAUGGGAUCCAUAAACAUCUGCUGUAUCAAAGAAUGUGAUUCCCUUGUCGAAUGCGUACUUGAUGAUUGAUAUGCCAACCUCUUCAGGGACUGGAUCAUUGUAGAUUCCAGUAAGCCCCAUGCACCCAAAUCCCAACUGGGAAACCUGCACAACAACAAAUGAAAUGAAAUACACAGAAACUACUAUUUACAGCAAUUCAAGGAAUUUUUCAAUGUGACUAGUCACCCUGGACAGCGUUACUGUCACACAACACAACCACGUUUAUUACUAACCACCCUUGACACUUGACAGUGUGAGCGCCACACAACUAAACUUAUUACCAAUCCAUCCUUGAUGGCGUGAUCGUCACACAAUCGUGUACAUUACUAGUCCACCUUCGACAAUGUGAUCGUAAUACCAAAAAAAAAUAAAAAAUACUCCCAAUAAUUAAUGGUAUGUUUACUUACUUAAAAUGGAGGAAGUCGUGAAUUCGUGAAGUGAAAGUAUGAAAUCAUAUUAACUAGGAGUCUAGCACCUUAUCGAUAUAAUUCUUGAUUUUUCAAGCACGCAUUACAAAUCUUAAUGUGAUAUUCACAUUUUUUUUACGCCAUACGUCUUAGUAAACACAUGAAAGUUGGGACUUCAAAUAAAUAUGUCUUCCGAGUAAAUGAUUUCAACAUCCAAGUAAAUAUGUCUUCCGAGUAAGAAACCGGCCCAAGUUUCUUAAGAAAACAAAGACCAGGACCAAAAAAUUAAAAUGGUGCUAGACAGACACCGCCUGUAUUCCCGGUACAUCAAAACAUUAAAAUAGUGCUAGACACACACUCAGUAAGGAUUUUUCGGGACCUUUCGCGAUCCAUCGUCGACAGAGGCCGAUGGCGCCUCCACCGCAGAUGAUGAGGGGACCUCCGCCUCCCCGCCAGGGAUUGCCUCCUCUGCCGGGUGGAGUUCCAAUAUAUGGUCCUCCCCGAUCCGGCAUGCCUCCUCUCCGCCCAAUCCUCAGAUCCAGCAGCAGCAGUGAUGAUCGGUAAUCCUUCCGAACGUCUAGUUUUGUGUUUUGAGUGAAAAUUAUGAUGGUUUGUUUGCGGAUGAUGAGGUAGCCGACCUAGUUAUGUGAAAUUCAAUUUAUUUUCUGGUAUUAUAACCAUUAACUGUGAAAGAACAAGUUCUUCUUGCUGAAAAUUGAUCUCUUUAUACUCGAUGAUCGAUCGUUUCGAACACGAAGGGUUCAUGAAAGUAUCUCUAUUUACUCGACAACAUAUAAAAUUUUGGAGAUGGCGCUUUACUACAGUGGUAGAAAGCAAUCAUAUUUAUGCGCGGGGAUUGAUCCACCGAUUCUCAUACUCUAACGACUAACUAUAAACCUAUUAACACUAUCGAUUUACUAAGAAAAAAGCUUACAGAAACACAAUCUAAGCGAGAUUUUUUUCAUUUCGUCGUGUUGAUUGAAAGUCAAAAGAAAGGAAGUGAAUGGGGUUUUACCUCAAAUCCCUGAUUUCCUAGUUUCACUCUCGGAAUUUGGACUUCCUCCUCAGCCAUUCUGCUUCUGCUUUUUUCUCCAAUUCUUUUUCCUUCCCUAUUUGCUUCCGAUGCAGGAGGUGAGGACUUUUUAAGAGUUCCGAAGUCGGCCUGUGAGGACGACAGACACAAUUAGUUGUUAUAUUCUGUAGAGGAAAUUGUAACAACCCUCCUUUAACUUUAACUUUAACUCUAACUCAAUUGGAUUAAUCUUUCUUUAGCUAAAAAUUCAAGAUCAUUAAUCUAUUAAGGGUAUUAAUUUAUCAAAACAUGUAAUUAUGAUAUUUUUCACCAACUCAAUAAAAACUUCCAUCAAAAUGAGUCUCAUGACACGCACGUGAAGUUGAAUCAAAGGAAAUAUGAAGGAUCGAAUGAGAAAAAUUGUAGCAAUGGUUCCUCAAUUUUAAUCUAAUUACAGCAAUGGUCCCUCAACUUUAAUCUACUUAUAGGCAAUUGUCCUUCCAAUAUGAAUCAUCUUCACUAAAUUCGGACAGAUUAGACGAAAAUGACCAUCACUGCUUGUUUUGAUGAAUUCAAAGAUCAAUGAUCAUGAUUUUUAAUUGAGGAUCAUUAUUCCAAUUAAGUUAAAAUUGAGAAACUAUUUCUACAAUUUUUUCUAGUCUAUAUUUUGUGUCAUCGUUGAUUACAUUAUUGUUGUUUCCUAAUCCGUAAUUGUCAUUGUCAUUUAUCAUUAAUCACUUACCUAGAAAUGGUUAAUCACUUACUUAGAAAUGGCAUUUCAUAGUCAAACUCUUACCUAGAAAUGGCAUCUCAUAAUUUACUUGAUUAUGACUACGGGCAUGAUGAAAUUCUCUAUAGCUUAUUCAGGUCUGAAAGAGAUUAAUAAUCGUGAUUUGUCAUCAAUUGACCUUCUUUUUACAAGAAAAAAUAAGUAAAUUUCAAAAUUUAAACUCAUCUAACUGUAAUAAAUAUGGUAUUCAGCAUACAUCCUACUAAAUAAUGGUAAGCAAAAUUACUCGCAUUUCAAAACUCCAGAUUGACCAGGCGUUGUUCUCCACGAAUGCUGGAUUUUUUUAUGUUUUUAAACUUGAACCGUAAGAUUGAUCCAACGGUACCUAUCUUUCUUACUGUUAGGUUGAUCCAGCCGGCUCUUCCCCAUCUUUUUCUUAGGCUGACAUGGAGAACCUCAGUUUAUUUGGAGAAUGGAACGUCACCCAGCAGCAUACGAGCUUACAUAGUCUGCUAUGCGCGACUUACACAUUUUAAUUGUAAGAAAUUCCUUACAAACUAAUCAAAGUAGUUGAAUUCAUAUAUUAAAAUCGGUAUUUCAAUUUCCAUCUACAUUCUAUUGAACUUAUAUUAAGAAUAGAGAAAAUAAUAUUUAAUAAACAACUUAUUGAAUCACAUUAUUGUUAGCCUAUUAUGAGGCUAAGUCCACCCCUCUUCCCCCUUAGUGUAGAUAAUAUCGUUUGUUAAAAAAAAAAACAAUCAUUUGACAACUAAUUUAAUCACAUUAUUAUGCGCAUACAAAAGACUUUUUUUAUAACCGGCAUUACACGCUUCUUAAGAUGUUUUGAACGUGUUUUAAAAUAUGAAUAACCGAUUGAAUCAUAUUAUUGCUAGUUUAUUGUGAGAUACUAAUUUAAAAAAAAAAACUAAUGAAAAGGGCUUGAAAACUUUGAGUUUUAAUGAUAAGGACAAAAUAAAGGGUAAAGUGAAUAGUACCAAGAUUGACUUUUUAGUGUAAAAAUGUGGUUUUUCGUUAAAGUGAACAGUACCGAGUGCUUUUCAUUAAAGUUCCCUUAAAAAAAUUGUACAAAAAUAAUUAAUUAUUAAAAAAACAUUGUUAAAAUGACGAAAAAAACCCUGCAUUAUUCGAUGAAUUAUUCUGAGUUGCUUUUUAAUUUUUUUGCUUUAGGAGCAUUUUUGUCCAAAAUUUUUUAAUGAAGUUUGUGACCCCAAAAAGUAUUGUUGGUACCAGAUCACACAGAAAAUAAUCCUAAAGUUUGAUCCUAAUAUAUAUAUAUAUAUAUAUAUAUAUAUUUAUUUAUUUAUUUGAAAAAUCUCGACAGUACAGUACAGGGCAUCUUCUUAUGGCCCUAGAUGGUGUCUUGUCUUCGUAUUAAGCACGGUGGACUGAUUGGAUCAAAUCAAAAGGAAAAUUAAUGAAAAUAACUUGAAAAUUUUGAGUUUUAAUGAUAAGGAGAAAAUAAAAGGUAAAAUAAAUAGUAACAGAAUUGAUUUUUAAUGUAAAAAUAUGAUUUUUUGUUAAAAUAAACAAUACCGAAAACUUUUAGUUAAAGUUCCCUCGAUCAAACGGCAGACAGUACGAGCAUCUUGUUAUGGCCCUAGAUGGCGUCUUGUCGUCGUAUUGAGCACGGUGGGCUGAUUGGAUCAAUCAAACGGCAGAAUGUUGAAGAUAAACCAUAUUUAACCUAAAUAACACAGAUGAUAUUUUCUUCUUUUGAAAAAACAAGAUUUACAGGUGUCAAUUACGUAUUAGUUGGGACCCCAUGUCAGCUAGUGCGUGGAAAAUUUCUCCUCCCGCUGGGCAGAGGCAUUUUCUUGUCCACCAACUUUAUCAUCUUUGUCGGCCCUGCAAAGGUCUAUCAAAGAGAAGAUCAUGAAACCGUACUGCAAAUUAGCUCGUUUUGGUAAGUUUGUAUGAAGAACUCACCUUGAAUAGGCACCACAUCAUCCCCUUGAUUGAGAACCCAUGCUAGCUAGGGCUGUUUGAGCAGUGGUGAAUCCAUGCUUCUUGGCCAAAUUUUGUAUUCUGAUCAAUGUACAAAACUUUGUUCUUGCCAAUAUUUUUGCCUUUUGAUUUUGGAUAUGAUUCCUGUGAGCAAAUUUAAACACGAACUUGAGUUAAGUUGCCGUAACUCGAACUUGAUUUCGGUAAACAUUUAUAUUUUGUUCCGUAUACAGGUUGAGAACUUGAGUACGGAACAAUACCAACUCCAAGUUCCUUACUAUAGAUGUACCAUUAGACUACGAGCUACUUGGUUUCAUUACGAGACUCAUACAUUUAUAGUUGAUAGUUACUCACACGCACAUUAGAUAUGAUUUUAAGCACAAACAAUUUAUGUGAAAUUGAGUAUAGUUGUUUGAAUUUUGAACAAUUAUAUAUACAUUCAAGUUCUAUUCGUACAAGGCAAUUUAGUUAAAAGUCAAAGCUAAGCGGAAAUCAUGAAUAACUUUUUCGAGUAAUGUUGUAAAAUUUUAUUCUUGUAGCCAUUUAACAGCUAGAAUCUAAUUUUUAAAUUUGCUAGAUCAACCGCGCAACAUAAGUCUAUGAUAAUGACAUUAUGAAAAAAAAAUUCCAUAAUACAUAUCAUUGAGUAAUUCGAAAAAUUAAUAGUUAAUUAUUGCAAAUUAAAAUUUAAUGUAUUUUUUAACGGCUAGAUCUGCAUAAAAUUUGUAUCAGUAAGUGAUACGUAUCAUUGUAAUCUGACACCAUAAUGAAAUGGUAAAAGUAAACCGCUGAAAUUCCUUUUGAACUUGUAAUUGACUUCCAAUUUCCCUCAUGAAGUUUCUCUUUAGAAAAUUAAGAACACAAACAAGUUUUUUAUCCAAUUUUUAUAUACAGUCUAUUUUCUUCACAUCUCAUCCAAACUGUCCUUAAAAUAGAGGCAUAUGCAAAACAAAUUUAAAAAAAUAAAAGUUAAUGUAGGAGAAAGAGAGCAAUAUCAAUAAGUACUUUAUGCCUUGAAAUUGUAUUUCACCAAUUAACUCAAUGUAAAAGAAAAUAAAAACAAAAAGAUAACCAAUAUAACCACGGCGGUGCGGGGUCACAGUGGCAUGCCGGAGAUUAGUGGUACCUAGAGUGAGCAGGCAUGCAUGCAACAGAGAUGGACCACCAAAUUUUACUCCUUAUUCAGUCUCUGUGAUAUUAUUGAUGACCAAACUGCAGAAAAUUAUAAAUGUAUAUGUUUUUGGAGAGUUGCAGACUGGUUUUCAUCAGAUGGUGCACAAGGAAAUUAAAAACUAUAUUCUUACUAAAUUUCUUGUUAAUCAAAUUUACCAUGGAUCGAUCUUGACCAUUUAAAAAUCUUUGGUGGAUGAAUCAAUGAAUUUGUUCAUAGUUAAUUUUGUAUCAAAAAGCAGUUAAACUUUUUUUUAAUUAUUUAUUCAGUCAGCACAUGAUCAAUUUUUUUAAAAAAAAAAGAACUAAUGAGAGAGAAGAACACAAAAACCCUAAAACCAACACAAAGUUCACAUGUCACAUCGGAAAUCUAAUGAAGUUUAAUUUUUCUCAGAUCAACUGGUUCACCACACAGGCAAUGACAUGAAUAGGACUAUAUAUAGUAGCACAUUACUAUGUCAACAUAGAUAAAAGGGACAAAAGGAAAAAACACUUCAAAAUGCAAAACGUACCUAGCUAAUUAGAGAGAGAGAGAGAGAGAAGAUGUUCAGUUUUUUGGUGCCAGCUGCUUAAUUUCCUUUUUUGUGUGAACCUUAUGCAGCCCCGUUGAGCCAUGCAAAAAUAAUGGUCCCCCAUUCGCUCUGUGAUUUUAUACUUUUUUUGGGUUUAUGCUUGAUGUUACCUUACAGCACAGGCCGGCACAGAGGAGAGAGAGAGAGAGAGAGAGAGAGAGAGAGAGAGAGAGAGAGAGAGAGAGAUGCCCAGAGAGACAACAUGAAAAGUCCUCCUGCUAAAGUUAACUAAAGACCUUCAUAGAAAUAUAGAAACUCACACAAAAGGGCCGGUCUGCAUGUGGUGGCGUGGGGGGCGUG
rnacentral:lncRNA from 1 species